rnacentral:rRNA from 1 species
GAUGAACGCUGGCGGCAGGCCUAAUACAUGCAAGUCGAACGGUGUCUUCGGACAUAGUGGCGCACGGGUGCGUAACACGUAUGCAACCUACCUUACAUUGGGGGAUAGCCUUUCGAAAGGGAGAUUAAUACCGCAUAAGACAGUAGCUGGGCAUCCAGCAGCUGUUAAAGAUUUAUCGAUGUAAGCUGGGCAUGCGUCCAAUUAGCUAGUUGGUGAGGUAACGGCUCACCAAGGCUAUGAUUGGUAGGGGAACUGAGAGGUCAAUCCCCCACACUGGCAUUGAGAUACGGGCCAGACUCCUACGUGAGGCAGCAGUAGGGAAUAUUGGGCAAUGGAAGCAAGUCUGACCCAGCCAUGCCGCGUGCAGGAUGAAGGCGUUAUGCGUUGUAAACUGCUUUUAUACAGGAAGAAACGACUCUUGCGAGAGGCAUUGACGGUACUGUAUGAAUAAGCACCGGCUAACUCCGUGCCAGCCGCCGCUGUAACAC